UAGAGGUUACCAGUUCUGCAAAAUGUGUUCAUAGUUGUAAGAACUCUGUGGUCUUGUCCUAUCUUCCUCAUACUUCCUUCCCCAAAAUACUUCCAUUCUCUGAGUUAUCUAAAGGUCACAUUUUCUCUUGCUAUAAAGGAAACUCUGUUCAUGGUCACCUGCAGUUGUCUCCUCAACAUUGGUAAAUAUGCAAUAAAUACAAUAUUUUGGUCCACAUAGGAAGCUUUCCAAAAGAGAAUUUGAGAAAAUCAGAAUAUAAGAAGAGCCCUGCUGGAUCAGCCAUCACUUCCUAGUCAAAAAGUACAAGGUCAGCCAUCUUCAAUCUUAGAGGCUCCGUGCAAACAGAUGCACCUGUGAGAAAACCUCUUAUCCUGCCAUUUCCAGCAACAAGGGUUUUUUAUGUUUGUAAUGGGUGAGAGUUCUCCUGGAAACCUUUAUCGUGUUGA